AGAUCGGAAGAAAAACACUGGGCACGGUAAUGGCCAAUCAAAUCAGGUCACCAUCGCCCUGAUCAUUGCCUCCAGCUUGGGGUUUGUGCUGUUCCUGGCCUUGCUCUCAGCAUUUCUCCUGCGAGGAAAAUUUGUGAAAACCAACUGUUUGCAGAAACACAAGAGGCUGGGCCCCCCUGGAGAAAGCAAAACGGUGCUGGAUGACUUGCAACAUGGCGGAGACGAUGAAGAGGGACUCUUCACUCUGUAACUCAGCACAUCUCUCGGGUACAGGGGAUGACACCCUAGGGCCCAAAUAAGCCCUGGCAUGGUUUGCUUCCAUUUUUGUUGGCUAUUUUCGAAAGUGUCAUCUUUCCCAUGGAGGUAAUGGGCCCAGUCUUGUUUUAAUUUCACACAUGAAAGGUACCAUGGAGACCACAUCAUACGUGUUCUCCAUGCCAUACCUCAGUCAUCCCUGUAGUAUCCUUGCUUGGU